rnacentral:RNase_P_RNA from 1 species
UUGCGAAAACGGAUGGCCGCUGCUUUUAGCAGAGGACAGUCCGGACUCCUCGGAGGAAAAGUGUCGGAUAACAUCCGACGGCGCUUUAUGGCGUUAGGGAAAGUGCAGCAGAAAAUAUACCGCCUGUUUAAAGGUAAGGGUGAAAUGGCGAGAUAAAAGCUCACCGCGCGGUCGGUAACGAUGGCGGCAUGGCAAACCCCACUUGGAGCAAGAUCAAAUAGGGAUAACGCGCACCUCCGCGCUAUGUUAUUCGGGUAGAUUGCUUGACGUUUAUGGCAACAUAAAUGCUAGAUGAAUGGCUAUCAAGAUUAAAAAUCUUACAGAAUCCGGCUUAUAGUUUUCGCAAUUUU